rnacentral:miRNA from 1 species
CUAGGUGGGGGGCUUGAAGC